rnacentral:rRNA from 1 species
GAUGAACGCUGGCGGCGUGCCUAAUACAUGCAAGUCGAGCGAACAGACGAGGAGCUUGCUCCUCUGACGUUAGCGGCGGACGGGUGAGUAACACGUGGAUAACCUACCUAUAAGACUGGGAUAACUUCGGGACACCGGAGCUAAUACCGGAUAAUAUAUUGAACCGCAUGGUUCAAUAGUGAAAGACGGUUUUGCUGUCACUUAUAGAUGGAUCCGCGCCGCAUUAGCUAGUUGGUAAGGUAACGGCUUACCAAGGCAACUAUGCGUAGCCGACCUGAGAGGGUGAUCGGCCACACUGGAACUGAGACACGGUCCAGACUCCUACGGGAGGCAGCAGUAGGGAAUCUGCCGCAAUGGGCGAAAGCCUGACGGAGCAACGCCGCGUGAGUGAUGAAGGUCUUCGGAUCGUAAAACUCUGUUAUUAGGGAAGAACAAAUGUGUAAGUAACUAUGCACGUCUUGACGGUACCUAAUCAGAAAGCCACGGCUAACUACGUG